rnacentral:rRNA from 1 species
AUUGAACGCUGGCGGAAUGCUUUACACAUGCAAGUCGAACGGCAGCACGGGGCAACCUGGUGGCGAGUGGCGAACGGGUGAGUAAUACAUCGGAACGUGCCCAGUCGUGGGGGAUAACGUAGCGAAAGCUACGCUAAUACCGCAUACGAUCUAUGGAUGAAAGCGGGGGACCGUAAGGCCUCGCGCGAUUGGAGCGGCCGAUGGCAGAUUAGGUAGUUGGUGGGGUAAAGGCUCACCAAGCCUGCGAUCUGUAGCUGGUCUGAGAGGACGACCAGCCACACUGGGACUGAGACACGGCCCAGACUCCUACGGGAGGCAGCAGUGGGGAAUUUUGGACAAUGGGCGCAAGCCUGAUCCAGCCAUUCCGCGUGCAGGAUGAAGGCCUUCGGGUUGUAAACUGCUUUUGUACGGAACGAAAAGCCUUUUUCUAAUACAAGAAGGUCAUGACGGUACCGCAAGAAUAAGCACCGGCUAACUACGUGCCAGCAGCCGCCGUA